CAGUCGCCGCGGUAAUACAGAGGGUGCAAGCGUUAAUCGGAAUUACUGGGCGUAAAGCGCGCGUAGGUGGUUUGUUAAGUUGAAUGUGAAAUCCCCGGGCUCAACCUGGGAACUGCAUCCAAAACUGGCAAGCUAGAGUAGGGCAGAGGGUGGUGGAAUUUCCUGUGUAGCGGUGAAAUGCGUAGAUAUAGGAAGGAACACCAGUGGCGAAGGCGACCACCUGGGCUCAUACUGACACUGAGGUGCGAAAGCGUGGGGAGCAAACAGGAUUAGAUACCCCAGUAGUCCCUGUCUCUUAUAC
rnacentral:rRNA from 1 species